rnacentral:rRNA from 1 species
CCUACGGGCGGCUGCAGUGGGGAAUAUUGGACAAUGGGCGAAAGCCUGAUCCAGCCAUGCCGCGUGUGUGAAGAAGGCCUUCGGGUUGUAAAGCACUUUCAGUGGGGAAGAAAGCCUUGGGGCUAAUACCCUCGAGGAAGGACAUCACCCACAGAAGAAGCACCGGCUAACUCCGUGCCAGCAGCCGCGGUAAUACGGAGGGUGGAGCGUUAAUCGGAAUUACUGGGCGUAAAGCGCGCGUAGGCGGUCUGAUAAGCCGGUUGUGAAAGCCCCGGGCUCAACCUGGGAACGGCAUCCGGAACUGUCAGGCUAGAGUGCAGGAGAGGAAGGUAGAAUUCCCGGUGUAGCGGUGAAAUGCGUAGAGAUCGGGAGGAAUACCAGUGGCGAAGGCGGCCUUCUGGACUGACACUGACGCUGAGGUGCGAAAGCGUGGGUAGCAAACAGGAUUAGAUACCCGUGUAGUC